AAUUUAUCCAAAGCCUAGCAUGUUCCAUUACAAUUAAUUACCGCUUAUGCCUCUUCUGAAUGAGACAGCCACACAGCUCCCUGUGUGAGACCAGUUCAAACUGGGGGAACCUGGGGUGGGGGUCGGGGGUGUGAGUUGCCUUUGCGGCAUGCCAGCACAGGCCUUAGUUAGGCAGGUAAGUCAUGUUACUCAGAAGAAAAACAGCUUUUCUGUUUUCUAAGGGUGGAGGGAAGGGAGUCCUGUUUUGCCAAUAAAGUGUUAAAAAUAGAAUCUGCCGUGUCUGCAGAGCAGCUGUCACAUUACUGCCGACCAGUUCCAGUGCUGUAUGUCAAUGUGUGUGUUUCAUAAAGCUUAACAUUUACGUCAGCGCCUCAGAACGUGGCAGUUUUCCGCACAUGUGAGUAUCAGCUGUGCAGUUCUCCGCAGCAGCAGCACAGGCUCAGAGGGAAGCAGCCCGUUCUGCCUUUGGUCUUCCCGUGCAUUCUGGCCCGGACAACUUCCUGCCUUCACUCCCAUUUCUUUAGCAAUUUCCAGCAGUGAAAUCUCUGCAAGCUCCCUGGCUCCUGACGCAGGUGUCGGCCUUGCCGCAGGAGUUGGUACUGAAGAGCCGCAAUUCUACUCGUAGAACUUGGGCCCUUCCCUUUUCUGGGACGGAUGAGCCAGGGAAACGGGCGUUGUUCUCCUCUGGCUGCUUGCUCCUGGACUGGGGCGUCAUCCGGGGCACCUGAAAACCAGUCGGAGACUUUGACACUCACCUCUGAUGCACAGGCCUCUGCAUCUCCUUGCUCUGAAUUUGAGAUCUCAUAUCAUUUAAAAGUAAGUAACAUUUCUAGACUCAUCAGGUACAAAAGUACAACAGGCAGGCAGUGUGAAUCCCAGUACAAGUUCCCUCUUGGGAGGCAAAGUGAAAUACCCGAGGCCAUUUGGUUUUGCAGUGCUGCCUUCCUCCUCAGACCUUAGUGUUCAGCAGAGAGAGGCUCCCUUAGAAGCCUCUCGCAUUAAAGAGACUUUGGUGUUGUGAUCGCCCAGGUACCCCCACUAAAGGAAUGGUGGUCUUGCUUAAAGAGGCUAAUUUACAAUUUAGAACAGAGUAGGUGGCUAAGAAAUUCACCAACUGAGACCCCACAGUUAGUUGUACCCAGAGCUCCUGUGAAGCUCCGGUUACUGGGGUCUCUAACACUGCCAGGAACCCUGUGUUCCCUUUACUUACUGUCAUCAUUCAUUUUAUCUCUUGAGUUACCAUGACCUCUCGGGAAGUCUUGUUGCUUUGGGAAGACUGUUGUGGGACACAACGGGGUGGCAGGGUCAGUGAGCCAGUGACACACAGGUUGGUAAAAGAAUGUACCAGAGAUAAAGUAUGGGAAUAGAAGGGAGUUUAGUAGGGUGCGCUGCCGCAGACAAUGGCCGGCCACACAGAUGACUGGUGAGGGCCAGUUAUUGAAGAGUUUUAUAAGGUAGGGUCACAAGGUGCCUGACUGGCUUGUGCACAAGUCGCUGAUUGGUUGUAGGUGAGGUAAGAGGUUUUGACUCUGAUAAGGUAGGCAUUACCUGGGGCUGUUUGUUAGGGGAAACACACCCAGCAAAGAAUGUCAGACAUCUGAGAGCCCAGAAAUGGGGGUGAUGGAACUUUGAAUGACAUCACCCAACAGAGACUUACAGCCAAGUAGCCAGUUCUCUAAUGCCAACUUUUGAUGUGGUAUUUACAUAUACAUAAUAGGAGCUAUGACUACUACAGUAAGUUUUUUUCUGUUUUCUAUUAAUAUCUGAUCUAAAGGAAUUUCAUUGUCUAGAAACUUAAUGAGUACAAGAGAACUUAAAGCCAAAAGGUUGCAACUACAAGUUGCCAGCAGACACUGCUUUGAGAAUGGCUGGUGGCGUCCCAGGUUUGACACAGCUCAGAAAACUCAAGUUCUCAGCAACACACAAACGUGUCUGAAAUCACACCUACACUGGUCACCUAGUUUUACGUUGAAUGUCUGAACUAGUUAUUCCAUUUUGAUUUUCAAAUGCAUUUCUCUCCUUAAUGGCCAGAGCAGAUGUCAAUAGUAAUGGUUUUAUGGGUUUUCUAGUGCUAAGUAAAAAUUGGCACCUACCAUCUACCUCUGCUUGGAUUGACUCACGAGCUGCAGCAGCUUUCAGCACUCCCUGAAAGGAGUUCAGGAUGGAGGUCAGGAAUAAGGCACCCUGUGUUCUGGGAAAACUGGCUGAACAGGCCUUCAAAUAGUUGGAUAUUUUGAGGAGAAGGGUUUAUAAGCCCAAAUUCUUGUGUCUCCUUGUAUCUAGAAAAUCACUAAAAUCACUAACAUUGACACCUGCUCCUCGUGACUAGCAGCAAGCCUCUGCCCAGAUGUGUGCUUGACUGCACGUGCCCCGCUUCACUGAAAUCAUACUUAACACCGACUUCCCCCUGCCUCUCUCAGACACUUUCUCACAGCUAUCUGAGAUGCUGUCUCCCGGCUAUAGUCCUCAUUUUGCCCCAAAUAAAACUUAACCCACAACUCUCACGUUGUGUGACUUUAUUUCAGUUGACAGUUUUGGCGACCCCACGAAGGGUCCCAGAGCAGACUUCUCCUUCACCUGAACUCUGCAAGGAACCGGAGCCUUGGUACCAGCAAAGGCCCUUUGUGCCCAUCCCCCUCCUCAGGGAAUCCUGACGAAUUUGGAACUAUUAAAAGGACACUCUAAGUUUGUUUCUGAAGCUUAUCUCAUAAAUAUCUUUGGAUAAAGAUCCGAUGCCCCAGGACCUGCAACCAGAAGAUUAUGCAUACUGGAAGAGACACAAUUUAAGGACUGUCUCCAGCCUAGAUGGAAGGAGCUUUGUCAGAUGCGUCAGAGUCAAAGGUCCAGGCUGGGGCCAGAAAGCAGAAGGAAGAAGUCCCCAGAGCAAGGAGAUUCCAGCGGCUGCUGGGGCUUGAUCUGUCCUGUUCCCGUUUCCCCACUCCGGCGCGGCAGACCCUGGGGGCUCAGGCAGAAAUGCCCUUCUUAGAAAAGAAGGGGGGCCCAAGGUUUGUUACUGAAAAAUCAGUCUGUACCCGGAAAAGCGAAUUCAAACUUAAGAGGCAGAGUUUUGGGAGCAAAGAAAAUAGCGGCGUUCUUGCUUUACCCGGCGAAGGGAGUCACAGCAGGCUGCUGCCUUAAAGACUGAGCCCAUCUUGGGCUUGGGGUCCUGAGGUUUUAUAGAAAAAUUGGAUGGAACAGAAAAGGUGAUAACAAUCAGGGCGUUUUACAGGGUGCUGUAUUCCUCUUAACCUCAGUGAAUCUUCAGGAGGAACUCUCUCCUUCGUGGAGCAUAGCCUCUAGGUUAAAGUUACUCUCAGUAAAGAGUGAAUCAGCAAACUAUUCCUCAUCAGGGAAGUGAGAUUGCUUUAUGCUCCUGUACCACUGGUUCACAGGCAAACAGAGGCCCUGCGGGGGUCCUGAAAUAGGGCAGCCUCUGAGCUCGCUCAGUCCCCACUGAGUCCUGGGCUCUCACUUGCCCUAAAGAAGACAGAGGAGUGGCAGCCAGUGAGGGAGAGGAAGCCCGACUUGAGACUAGGAGUCGCGAGCUGGGCCAGGUGUUGUGCCACAGAUUUUGGCCUCGUGAGGAAUGGAAGACAGGCAGGAAGUGGGUGUGCAGAGGACAACAAGGUGGCCCCUGGCCCGCAUUCCAGCCUCAGGAUGCUGAGUGCCAGAACUUGCUACCACAUCAGAUGCAGAAGGUGGGGACCAGAAGGUGACUCUGGCUUUUGACCUCAACCGUUAAUUGCUACAACUGAGAUAAGGAAAAGAUAAGAGUUCUGUUCUAGCCAGUGGAGUAACUAAAGCUAAAAAAUUUGGAUGAAGGCACAGAAGUGGUAUUUAAAGGCUUGAGCAACAUACAAGAUGUUCUUAGCAGUGAGGGGAAACCUGCCAGCACAUAGCCCUCUCACAGUCCCAUGUGACCUUGCCUUAGAGCCCCUCUGAGCCUUAGUUUCUUAAUCUGGAAUGGGAAUAAAGAUGCCUUAUUUAAAGUAUCAAAUGAAUUUUAGGCACUGUUCAGGAUUGUUGAGUUUUCAUGUUCUCCACAGACAAUUUACCAGUCUUCGUGGAGUUAAAAUACAAUUAAAAUAUUCAUUUAAACAUA